AUUCCAGGCAAUUUUAGUAAACUUAAAGACUGGCAAAAUAGAAGCUGAAUUCCAUGAAUUCAUAAUGUCAACUUCUAUGGCUGCGCAAUCCGGAAACCUUUACCUACGCAAUUGAGAUUUUGGAAUUUGGCUCCAAAAAGAAUAUCAAAGUAAAUGACCUUAGAAGCCAAGAUUUUGUAUUCAUGACCGACUUACGAGCUCUAUUUCAGUAAUUCUAUAAUUAUAAUAGAAUCAAUAAUUGACCAGAAGACUCAUGAUGGCAGGCGCAGGACUACUUCAAACAACAAAUCAAAAGGAAACUUCGAAGUCGAUUUGACUCUGCCGUUCAGUUGAUUCCACGACAUAGUUGUUUUUCAAAUUUGUAUGUAAUUUAGCAUAGUUAGUUUUUAAAAUUCAAUGGCAUUAAUUAAAGAUUAUAGACGUUAAAAUUUAUUUGAGUUAUUGAGUAAUUAGAACAAAUAAAAAUAAAAGUAAUUUUUUCACGAAAAACAUUUCUUUUUUGUUUUCAAAAAUUUGAUAAGCCCUGGUCAAUUAUGAAAUUAGUGGAUAACAGCUUUUCAAUUGAAUUACAAAAAAAAACUGAAUUAAGUGGUGUUUUGUUUUAUUUGCCUUAAAUUUCCUUUUUGUAUGUGGACUUUUCUUUCACCUUUCAGCAACCUACAAAAUCACUGCCGGGUGAACCUUUGACAGAGAAAUUCAAAUGGAUAAAACUUCACAAAAAUUUUGGACGAUGAUGUCGGACUACACGUCUCGCACACUCAAUCGCCCAAGUAGAAAAUGACGAAACUAGGAAAAGAAAAUUGAAAAAUUAGAAAGAAAGAAAAGAAAAAAAAGUUAGGAUGGGAAUAGGUAAAGGACAAAACAAAAAAUGCACUGACUGACCUUACUCAAGCUUUCGCAAAGGAACGUCGCGAUACACCUAGGUUCGCCUGUGGCCUUCCUGGUGCAGACAUACGCCCUUUGCAAAAACUCCAGUAAUUUCAGAAAAAACAUUACAUUCAUUAACCGCGGUCGCUGUGAAUUUUCAAACACUCGUCGCGAUACGACUAGGUACGCCUGUGGCCGUCCUGACGCAGACAUACGAGGUUUAAAAAUCCACACCAAGUUUGGUUAGGACAAUACAACAUAAAAAAACUGAAACUAGUACAACAUUAACUUAUUCGCCAAAAAAAAUGUUCCAACUGGGUUGGAACACCCUUUAAUAACGUUGGGCGCCAUUUUGUUGCGGCACCCUUUAAUUACGUUGGGCGCCAUUUUGUUGCGUGGCAAGAGGAGGUGUGGAGGUGGUUGAAGUGGAAGGGUAGAAUAAGGAUGAGGUAGGAAAAAGAGAUAGGAAGAUUUGGAAUAGGUUAGGUGGGAUUGUUGAGAUCCGGGGGACGCGGCCUGCUUGCGGUGCACGGCGUCAGCUCGUCGGACGGGGGGGGAUCUUGCCCCCGAAACUCAACCUCGCCUGCAGACAAAAACAUAUAUCAGGCCAAGGAACGAGGAAAAGGAAGGAAACAUAAACGGACAGACUAUUGGCACAUCAGGGCACUGCGGAUGUUAGUGCAGUGAGGCCAUUACCCACCCUACCUUUAGGUAUCCGUGGCCAGUUUUGGAUACCCCCAAGAUUGUGGUCGAUGAUCGGCUUCAGGUCAUCUUAGGUCCAUGUCCACUCCGCUACCCUCGACACCCCUGAAAAAAAAGACUUAGCACAACAUUGCUUCGCUGGGGCGAAACAGCAAUAACAAAAAAACUAUUUUCGUUCCUUCAGUAGGCGUUUUGGAAGUUUAUUCACAUAAUUAUUUUAAAUUACAAUUUUUGCUUACAGUCAUUAAACUUUUACACAAAUGAGAAAAAAUAGAAAUUGGUACUGAAAAGCCGCGUUUCAAUAUUCAAUUUUGAUACCCUUUGUAGUAUCUUUCAAUCAAUCAACGACGAUGCCCUAGCUCCCUACCCCUAUAGAGCUCUGUGGAGGUGUCGGCUAAGACUAAAACAAACAACCCAGUGACUGGACGCGAUUCAACCGCUCACCAAUUUUCGGUACCUCACAAGAAUAUGUUUUAAAACAAGAAACCAGAAAAA